rnacentral:rRNA from 1 species
GGUCAAGCGAAUAGCGCACACGGUGGAUGCCUUGGCGGUCAGAGGCGAUGAAGGACGUGGCAGCCUGCGAAAAGUAUCGGGGAGCUGGCAACAAGCUUUGAUCCGGUAAUGUCCGAAUGGGGAAACCCACCCGCUUGCGGGUAUCCUGCAGUGAAUACAUAGCUGCUGGAAGCGAACCUGGUGAACUGAAAUAUCUAAGUAACCAGAGGAAAAGAAAUCAACCGAGAUUCCGUAAGUAGCGACGAGCGAACGCGGACUAGCCCUUAAGCUGAUUUGGUUCUAGGAAAACGCUCUGGAAAGAGCGGCCAUAGAAGGUGAUAGCCCUGUAUCUGAAAGGGCCAUUUCAGUGAAGACGAGUAGGGCGGGGCACGUGAAACCCUGUCUGAACAUGGGGGGACCAUCCUCCAAGGCUAAAUACUACUGACCGACCGAUAGUGAACCAGUACCGUGAGGGAAAGGCGAAAAGAACCCCGGAGAGGGGAGUGAAAUAGAACCUGAAACCGUGUGCGUACAAGCAGGAGCUCCGCAAGGAGUGACUGCGUACCUUUUGUAUAAUGGGUCAGCGACUUACUGUUCGUGGCAAGCUUAACCGUAUAGGGGAGGCGAAGGGAAACCGAGUCUGAUAAGGGCGCAUAGUCGCGGGCAGUAGACCCGAAACCGGGUGAUCUAGUCAUGCCCAGGGUGAAGGUGCGGUAACACGCACUGGAGGCCCGAACCCACUCCCGUUGCAAAGGUAGGGGAUGAGGUGUGAUUAGGAGUGAAAAGCUAAUCGAACCCGGAGAUAGCUGGUUCUCCUCGAAAGCUAUUUAGGUAGCGCCUCAUAUGUAUCCUCUCGGGGGUAGAGCACUGUUAUGGCUAGGGGGUCAUCGCGACUUACCAAACCAUUGCAAACUCCGAAUACCGAGACGGACUGUAUGGGAGACACACGGCGGGUGCUAACGUCCGUCGUGAAAAGGGAAACAACCCAGACCCACAGCUAAGGUCCCAAAUUUUGUGCUAAGUGGAAAACCAUGUGGAAAGGCACAGACAGCCAGGAGGUUGGCUUAGAAGCAGCCACCCUUUAAAGAAAGCGUAAUAGCUCACUGGUCGAGUCGGUCUGCGGGGAAGAUUUAACGGGGCUAAGCACAGAACCGAAGCUUGGGGUGCAUACUUUGUAUGCGCGGUAGAGGAGCGUUCCGUAAGCCGUUGAAGGUGGAUUGAGAAGUCUGCUGGAGGUAUCGGAAGUGCGAAUGCUGACAUGAGUAACGAUAAUGCGGGUGAAAAACCCGCACGCCGAAAGCCCAAGGUUUCCUUGCGCAACGUUAAUCGGCGCAGGGUGAGUCGGCCCCUAAGGCGAGGACGAAAGUCGUAGUCGAUGGGAAGCAGGUUAAUAUUCCUGCACCUCGCGUAAGUGCGAUGGAGGGACGGAGAAGGUUAGGUGUACCAGGCGUUGGUUGUCCUGGGGAAAGGCGGUAGGUUUGGAUCUUUGGCAAAUCCGGGAUCCUCUAAGACCGAGCACCGAGACGAGCCUUUAUGGCAAAGUCACUGACCACGCUUCCAGGAAAAGCUCCUAAGCUUCAGCUUACGCAGACCGUACCGUAAACCGACACAGGUGGGUAGGAUGAGAAUUCUCAGGCGCUUGAGAGAACUCGGGUGAAGGAACUAGGCAACAUGGCACCGUAACUUCGGGAGAAGGUGCACCCUUUUUGGUGGCUCGUGCGAGCUAUAGCUGAAGAGGGUCGCAGUAACCAGGCCGCUGCGACUGUUUAUCAAAAACACAGCACUCUGCAAACACGAAAGUGGACGUAUAGGGUGUGACGCCUGCCCGGUGCUGGAAGGUUAAUUGAUGGGGUCAGCCGCAAGGCGAAGCUCUUGAUCGAAGCCCCAGUAAACGGCGGCCGUAACUAUAACGGUCCUAAGGUAGCGAAAUUCCUUGUCGGGUAAGUUCCGACCUGCACGAAUGGCGUAACGACAGCGGCGCUGUCUCCACCCGAGACUCAGUGAAAUUGAAAUCGCUGUGAAGAUGCAGCGUUCCCGUGGCAAGACGGAAAGACCCCGUGAACCUUUACUAUAGCUUUACACUGAACGUUGAGUUCGUCUGUGUAGGAUAGGUGGGAGGCUAUGAAACCAUGGCGCUAGCUGUGGCGGAGCCAUCCUUGAAAUACCACCCUGUCGUGCUUGACGUUCUAACCUGGGCCCAUUAUCUGGGUCGGGGACCGUGUAUGGUGGGUAGUUUGACUGGGGCGGUCUCCUCCUAAAGAGUAACGGAGGAGCUCGAAGGUACGCUCAGCGCGGUCGGACAUCGCGCACUGUGUGCAAAGGCAUAAGCGUGCUUGACUGCAAGAUCGACGGAUCAAGCAGGUAGGAAACUAGGACUUAGUGAUCCGGUGGUUCUGUAUGGAAGGGCCAUCGCUCAACGGAUAAAAGGUACUCCGGGGAUAACAGGCUGAUACCGCCCAAGAGUUCAUAUCGACGGCGGUGUUUGGCACCUCGAUGUCGGCUCAUCACAUCCUGGGGCUGUAGUCGGUCCCAAGGGUAUGGCUGUUCGCCAUUUAAAGUGGUACGCGAGCUGGGUUCAGAACGUCGUGAGACAGUUCGGUCCCUAUCUGCCAUGGGCGUUGGAGAUUUGAGAGGGGCUGCUCCUAGUACGAGAGGACCGGAGUGGACGAACCUCUGGUGUUCCGGUUGUCACGCCAGUGGCAUUGCCGGGUAGCUAUGUUCGGAAGCGAUAACCGCUGAAAGCAUCUAAGCGGGAAGCGCGCCUCAAGAUGAGAUCUCCCGGGGCACAAGCCCCCUGAAGGAACCAUGUAGACUACGUGGUUGAUAGGUCAGGUGUGUAAGUACAGCAAUGUAUUGAGCUAACUGAUACUAAUGAUCCGUGCGGCUUGACCAU